rnacentral:RNase_P_RNA from 1 species
CGGGCAGUCGGCUCUGUCGCUCCGCCCAUAUAGGCGGGGAGGAAAGUCCGGACAACACAGAGCACCAGGCACUGGAAAUCAGUGGUCGGGGCAACCCGGCAGAACGUGCCACAGAAAAUAACCGCCCCUCGGGGUAAGGGUGAAAAUGUGGGGUAAGAGCCCACAGUUCGUAUAAGCAAUUGUGCGAACGGGUAAACCUCCUGGGUUGCAAGGCCAUGUAAACCGAUCAUGAUGCUGCUCGCAUCGUUCGGAGGGUAGGCCGCUCAGAUAAAUGGCAGAGGCUCCACCCAGUGGAUGCACAGAAUCCGGCUUACAAGACUGCCCGAGCC